ensembl:misc_RNA Metazoa_SRP Metazoan signal recognition particle RNA
GCCGGGCACGGUGGCACAUGCCUGCAGUACCAGCUACUUGGGAGACUGAGGUGGGAGGAUCGUUUAAGCCCAGCAGUUCUGGGCUGUAGUGCACUAUGCUUAGUCUGCACUAUGUUCAGCAUCAAUAUGGUGACCACUUGGGAGCGGGGGACCACCAGGUUGCCUAAGGAGAAGUGAAUAGGCCCAGGCUGCAAACAGAGCAGGUCAAAACUCCCAUUCUGAUUAGUAGUGGGAUCGCGCCUGUGAAGAGCCACUGUACUCCAGCCUGGGCAACAGAGUGAGACCCUGUUUCUA